ACAAUGUAAGACCAUGUUGCUAGGGAAAUUCUGACUCCAUUAUAGCUGAAACGAGUAAAGAACAGAAGUAUCUUGAGUUGGAAAAGAGAUUUGAGUGAGGAUUAAUCCAACUCUGAUGGUUUCCUUGGGGUUUACCAUUUAUGUGGUGGCUAUAUUCCUGGUCACUUCCUGCCUAGUCUUCUCUAAUGCCUUCAUACCACUGAGAAGCGAGACCAUGAUUCACGCAGCCAAGGAGAGUCAGCAAGAGGGAAACAGUCCAUCAGCAGGCUGGGAGAAAAUGGAAGAAACAUUUGUAGCCUCAUCUACCGGAGAAGGAAUGAAGUUAAUCGAUAUGGUGCUGCAGGAGGCCUCUCAGAGAAUGAAGAAUUCAGCAGUGAAGAUUCUUCUGUUGUAUCUGGCAUUUUCCUUGAACAUUAGCAUAAUGAUUCUCAUUUUUUUAUUUGUGACAUAAAGAGCAAGAUCAUCACUGUCGUCAUGGAUGCUGACAAUUUGAAUAUCUACUUGUGUUUCAUGAUCACAUAGUAGGCAGCAAGGCUUCUUUUCAACAUCCACAUCCCAGUGAACCUGCAAACACUGAGAAAAAGGACAGAGAUCUUGUGCACAUAUUCAAAGUGCUUUUUCUUCCUUCUCUCCUUGAAAAGUACAAUAAAUUCAAUGUACAGUUCA